CAUGCUGAGUCACCUACUAAGAUAUGACUCGAUAACAGCAUUUUCGGCAGUGUUUUUCAGCGAGUUCAAAGCGCUUGAAUGCCGCCAACGGGUAAAUACCACCUUCCCGCUUGGAUAUGAACGCAGCAUACUGGUUUGUUUCGGUUUCAGAAUCCUUGUUGUUGUAGCUAACUAACGUUACUAAUCCGCUAUCCCAUUCAGAUUAGGCGGAAAAUGUUAUUAAACAUUAUAGCGUGUCUAUUCACAAAACUGUCUGCUGCCUGAGGAGAUUUUGCAGACACUCCGACGCUGUCAAACAAAAAACAGCCCAGCACGAGAUUCAAUUUUUGAAACGUUUGGAACUUAAAGGUUGACUCCAAUCAAGUUGUAGAAACCUCUCAAGAAUGAUCAAUGGAAACAGGAUGCUCCUGAGCUCAAUUUUGAGUCUCAUAUCAAAAGGUACGUCCAUGAUAAGCAGUGUGUUUCCGCCACGGGGAUAUUACUGUUUCAGUGUCUACCUCAUUCUUACCGGAGUUCAGCUCAGUGCAUCCUCCACAUUUCUUUUUCACCUACCGGAUCAGAUUGAAAUGGCAAAUGAUGCCCUCCCUGAGAAUGCUUGUCGUUAUCGGAAGAUCACCAAUGCUAAUGGAAAUGUGGAGGAGGUCCGUGGGCCAGGCGUUGUCGGUAGGCGACUAGACUAGAGAUGAUAGCAGUGGACAAAAACCUGUUACGAUCUAAGAAUGAUUUACAGCUAACAGAUUACUAAUGUAAUUUUCAUGAUACAGUUGAAGUCAGAAGUUUACAUACACUUAGGUUGGAGUCAUUAAAACAAAUUUUUCAACCACUCCACAAAUUUCUUGUUAACAAACUAUAGUUUUGGCAGGUCGGUUAGGACAUCUUAGGUUAGGACCAACAAUUGUUUACAGACAGAUUAUUUCACUUAUAAAUUCACUGUAUCACAAUUCCAGUGGGUCAGAAGUUUACAUGCACUAAGUUGACUGUCUUUGGGACCCACCCCCUACACUCUUUGCUUGACAUCAUGGGAAAAUCAAAAGAAAUCAGCCAAGACCUCAGAAACAAAAUUGUAGACCUCCACAAGUCAGGUCCAUCCUUGGGAGCAAUUUCCAAACGCCUGAAGGUACCACUUUCAUCUGUACAAACAAUAGUACGCAAGUAUAAACACCAUGGGACCACGCAGCCGUCAUACCACUCAGGAAGGAGACGCGUUCUGUCUCCUAGAGAUGAAUGUACUUUGGUGCGAAAAGUGCAAAUCAUUCCCAGAACAACAUAAAGGACCUUGUGAAGAUGCUGGAGGAAACAGGUACAAAAGUGGCCAUCACGAAUCCUUGACCUCAAUCCUAUAGAAAAUGUGUGGGCAGAACUGAAAAAGCGUGUGCGAGCAAGGAGGCCUACAAACCUGACUCAGUUAAACCAGCUCUGUCAGGAGGAAUGGGCCAAAAUUCACCCAAUUUAUUGUGGAAGGCUACCUGAAACGUUUGACCCAAGUUAAACAAUGUAAAAGGCAAUGCUACCAAAUACUAAUUGAGUGUAUGUAAACUUCUGACCCACUGGGAAUGUGAUGAAAGUAAUAAAAGCUGAAAAUCAUUCUCUACUAUUAUUGUGACAUUUCACAUUCUUAAAAUAAAUUGGUGAUUCUAACUGACCUAAGACAGGGAAUUUUUACUGUAAUUUAAUGUCAGGAAUUGUGAAAAACUGAGUUUAAAUGUAUUUGGCUAAGGUGUAUGUAAACUUCCAACUUCAACUGUACGUAACUGGACAUGAAAAUACCCUGGCUUAGCAGAGCAAAUUCAGUUUUUUCAGAGAGAUGUUUUAUCUUUGACAAUGUUGCCAGGAAGAUGUGUGCUGUUAUGUAUUAUUUUAAAAUAAUUUUCUCUAAAUAUGGAAUGAAGGCGUUUGCCUUCUGUUCUUCUUGCCUAUGAAUGGCAAGACAUAUUUUGUGGGUAAUAACUGUUUUAAUCUUGUUUUCCCCCUCUACUGAACAGUGCAAUAAUGUCUGGCUGUUUUCUAUUAUAAUUUCAAACCUCAUUUGAUUUGCAUGUAGGUAUUUGUUCAGUAUACGUUUUUUACCUCAAACUUGUGUAUUUGUUUUUCUAAAUGCUGAAUUUGUAAGCACAUAAGAUUUUUUGUUCAUGCAUUGUUGUGAUGGUUUAUUUCGUUGAUAUCAUUUGCUUUUUUUCUGUUCAAUUACCUGCAGUAACUGAGAAAUAGAUUCAUAAGAAUAAAAAGAUCAAUUAGA